rnacentral:tRNA from 1 species
GCCGGAAUAGCUCAGUUGGUAGAGCAGAGGACUGAAAAUCCUCGUGUCACAGU